AGUUUGACCAACUUGGACCUGGAGAACAAUCGUUUGACUGGUCAAAUACCACCUUCCGUUGGGAAUCUACUAAAGCUUCAAUUUUUGUCGUUAAGUCAAAAUAACCUCAGUGGAACCAUUCCUGAGUCACUUUCUACUCUUCAUAACUUGAUCAAUCUCCAGCUUGCCUUUAACAACCUUGAAGGUCAAAUUCCUGCUCACUUAUUCCAAGUUUCAAAAUAC